CUACACCUUGCAUGACAGGUUUCAGUAUGUGGUACCUGAGAAAGACGGUGCUGCUCGCUAUCCUGGUAUCUGUGGUGCUGGUACUGGUUCUGCUUUACUCAUGGCCCACUUGUGCCUACAACACGGCGGACCUGUGGCAACGGCUCGGGGCGACAAAGGAAAGGCACCUGGAGGAGAGGCUCCCAGAACCGGACACGCGGCUGAGCAGCGUUCCCUUUCAAAUCAGGAAAAGUGUAUCAGACUUGCUGGAACGUAAUGGGUGCGUUUGUGAGGCUGAGACACCAGUAGAAAACCUGCACUUUGACCAGCUGCUGUUCCCGAAGUUGCCAGCUCAGUCUCUGCACACUGCCUCCAACACCUCUGAGCUGGGGAAAAUGAAGAUGAGACGAGCUAAGGAGUACAAAGCUUUCCAACAGAGAUCCAACACUGCUGCAGACACGCUCAUAAUCACCAAGGCCAAUAAUCCCCUGCAGUAUCCAACACAGGGGGUGGAAGUACGGCCCCUGAAAACAAUCAUCAUCCCAGGCUUGGCCUUACACGACCUACCCAGAGACCAUUACACAAUAAACAUUACUGCCACACUAGGAACACUAAACGUAGCAGCAGAAGUGGAGGGAGUGAAAAUAAAAGGUGAUGGAGGGAUGCAUAUGAGUCUGUCCAGCAGUUUGCUGCUGAACUUGAACCGACAGCUGCAGUUUGUCACCUACACAAACACAAAAUAUCAUCCCAACACUGCAGACACAGUGGAGCUUGAGACAGAAGGUCAUCAAGCUGCCUUCAGCAUCAAGAUCCGUCAUGGAGUAACUCCAGAACUUUACGACACUGGACCUCAGGAAGAGUACAACGUCAGCAAGUUUGUUACCAUAGCAACAAAGACCUUCCUGCGUUAUGAAAAGCUUCAAAAGCUUAUUGACAGUAUCAGAAAAUACUAUCCUGCAGUCACGAUAAUAAUUGCUGAUGACAGUGAGAACCCAAAAACCAUUUCUGGGCCUUACAUCGAGCAGUACAUCAUGCCUUUUGGGAAGGGUUGGUUUGCUGGACGAAACCUGGCUGUUUCCCAGGUCACAACCAAAUAUGUGCUUUGGGUGGACGAUGACUUUCUCUUCACGGCCAAUACCAAGCUGGAGAAGCUUGUAGACGUUUUAGAGAGGACCACUCUGGAUCUGGUUGGGGGUGCAGUAGAUGGUGGUACCUUCAGACAAACCAUGUCCAUCGAGCCAGGAGAGGAAGACGGAGACUGCUUACACAUCAGAAGAGGAUUUCAUCAUGUAAUUGAGGGAUUUCCUCACUGUGUUGUGACGGAUGGGGUCACUAAUUUCUUCUUGGCUCACACGGAUAAAGUCCGACAGGUCGGCUUUGACCCCCGCCUCAACAGGGUAGCUCACAUUGAGUUUUUCAUCGACGGCCUUGGAUCUCUCUAUAUUGGCUCCUGCGAUGACAUCACCAUCGAUCACCAACCCAAAGUCAAUCAACCACCGGGCAGUCAGACCUACAACGAGAACAUGUACAACAUGUUUCGAAACCCCAGUACCUUCUCUGACUCCCAAAAUAUAAAAUACGGCCUGAUGUACUUCAAAAACCGUUUGCAGUGCCAGACUCGUAAUUAGCAUUCACAUCUGCCCUGGUCUCUCUGAAGGUUUGUCUGUUCUUCCUGAAUCUCCAAAGGCAUUUUUCUCCACCCUGCACUGACAGAUAAAACUUGUGGCAGCUUGGUUUGUUCUGCUGUUAUCUGCCUUUGAGGCAGUUCUGUAAAAACCUCAAGAGAGGGUUGAUGGGAUUUAUUCUGGAAUGACGACAGAAAUCUGGUUUCACCUAAACCACAGGUGUCAAACUCCAGUCCUUAAGGGCCGGUGUUCUGGAGUUUUUAGAUGUGCCACAGGUGUGGUGCAGCAGAGGCACAUCUAAAAGUUGCAGGAUACCGGCCCUUGAGGACUGGAGUUUGACACCCCUGACCUAGACAGUCUUCUUUUUAGGCCCAAUCAGCUGCGACGGAAGGAUUUCUUCUUUUUAUUUUUUCUGCCACUUUACGUGGCUUUUUGAAGGCCUUAAUAUACUCAAAAACUCAGAUAGGAUUCAGCACCCUGCUCGACCCCUCUAAGGUGGUCCCUUAGGGGUGUACAGAAAAUGGAUGGAAGGAUUCUCUUGAUUGUUGUUACUGUUGUUGGGGGUAAAAUCGCUGAUCAUUUCAGGUGUUUUACUGUCGGAUGUUCUGAGAAGUGUGAUCCGAAAGAUAUACCUUUGUAUUCUAUUUAAUAUAUAUAAUUCUUUUUGCACUGGCUUAAUCCUUCACAUACAGAUCUAGGGGAGAUUUAUUGUUAACAAUUAUCAGCAAUAAUCAUGUUUAAUGUGUUUGUAAUCAGAAAAAGCAUGUAAACCCAAAGAGUUUACAUGCUUUAACUGAGCAUCUAAACUCAGUUAAAGAUGAUCAGAGUUUAAUGAAGGAUGUUGUCUCUUAAUGGUGUGAAGUGUCAGAGUUUAGGGGAAAGGUUAUGGAAAAAGAGAAACUGAAAGGAGAGCAAGAA